UCAGACCAAUGAUAAUGCCCCCCGCUCCUGCAAGGUGACCAAUCAUUGGCAGAGUAACAGGACGCGGGACGAGCCCCGACAACCUGAGGGCGAAUGCGAGGCAAAGCUGGUGCUGGGUUCCCCGCUGCACAUUCAAAAGAAGGUCGUUCGUGUUUGAAGGGCUUCAGUGAAAAGACCUGUCUACUGGGAAAUUGGACCAGGUGCAUCCUGUUGUGGUUCACCUGAGCAUGGAUGUCACUUCUCCAUUAUGUUUCAAGUACAUGAUGACAUCAUCAAAGUACGUGAUGUGCAUUCCUGAUUUAGCAAUAGAAAUUGAAUCAGGAGGUCCUGAGCUGAAAUUUCCCAAUUGGCUUGUCUCUCUGGAAGUGAAGCCAUGUGAACUCAUCACAGCGACCUUUUUAAUUUUUGACAUACUGACUACUGGAAACCAAUGCCAAUGAUGUUAUCAGCAUAGCUAGUAGAUGCAUGACACAGUCAAUAAAUGACCU